rnacentral:tRNA from 1 species
UGCCGGGGUCGCCUAGCCAGGUAGGGCGGCGGCCUGCUAAGCCGCUGGGGCUAUACCCCGCGCGGGUUCAAAUCCCGCCCCCGGCGUCC